rnacentral:rRNA from 1 species
CUAGCCAUAAACUUAAAUGGUUACAACAACAAAACUAUUCACCAGGGGACUACUAGCAACAGCUUAAAACUCAAAGGACUUGGUGGUGCUUUAUACCCCC